UCCCUUCAAGUGCCGGAGCGCGUCGC
rnacentral:sRNA from 1 species